GUGGGGAAUAUUCCGCAAUGGACGAAAGUCUGACGGAGCAACGCCGAGUGAGUGAUGAAGGUUUUCGGACUGUAAAGCUCUGUUGUUUAGGACGAAAGUGCCUGUUGCAAAUAGUUACAGGUAUUGACGGUACUGAACGAGGAAGCCACGGCUAACUACGUGCCAGCAGCCGCGGUAAUACGUAGGUGGCAAGCGUUGUCCGGAAUUAUUGGGCGUAAAGAGCAUGUAGGCGGGAAUCUAAGUCUGUUGUGAAAAUGCGGGGCUCAACCCCGUAUUGCGAUGGAAACUGGGUUUCUUGAGUGCAGGAGAGGAAAGGGGAAUUCCCAGUGUAGCGGUGAAAUGCGUAGAUAUUGGGAGGAACACCAGUGGCGAAGGCGCCUUUCUGGACUGUGUCUGACGCUGAGAUGCGAAAGCCAGGGUAGCGAACGGGAUUAGAAACCCCUGUAGUCC
rnacentral:rRNA from 1 species